rnacentral:rRNA from 1 species
AGUGAACGCUGGCGGUAGGCCUAACACAUGCAAGUCGAACGGCAGCACAGUAAGAGCUUGCUCUUACGGGUGGCGAGUGGCGGACGGGUGAGGAAUACAUCGGAAUCUACUUUUUCGUGGGGGAUAACGUAGGGAAACUUACGCUAAUACCGCAUACGACCUACGGGUGAAAGCAGGGGAUCUUCGGACCUUGCGCGAUUGAAUGAGCCGAUGUCGGAUUAGCUAGUUGGCGGGGUAAAGGCCCACCAAGGCGACGAUCCGUAGCUGGUCUGAGAGGAUGAUAGGCCACACUGGAACUGAGACACGGUCCAGACUCCUACGGGAGGCAGCAGUGGGGAAUAUUGGACAAUGGGAGCAAGCCUGAUCCAGCCAUACCGCGUGGGUGAAGAAGGCCUUCGGGUUGUAAAGCCCUUUUGUUGGGAAAGAAAAGCAGCAGGUUAAUACCCCGCUGUUCUGACGGUACCCAAAGAAUAAGCACCGGCUAACUUCGUG